GGAGAGAAGGAGACCAGAUCUCCCUUCUCUCCCUGCCCUGCCCCUAUGUGAGAUACAGCAAGAAGGCGAGUAUCUGCAUACCAGAAAGGGGGCCCUCACAGGCACUGAAUCUGCCAGCACCUUGAUCUUGGACUUCCCAGCUCCCAAAUGGCUGGUUUGGUCUCUCCCAUCCUUAGCCUCAAGGUCACAGUAAGCGUACCAUGUUCAAGACAAGAGCCCACUGUGUGGGACAGUAUCUUCGCUGCACAGCCCUGAGGAGGCCUCCGAACAUGCCCCAUCACACCAGAUGCACUCAAAAACAUACGGUGUCAUUUACCCCCAUGUGCCUAGAGCCCUAGACUCUGCACUUUGCUGUGUGCCAACCCAGGCUAGCCAGCACGGCCUUCAGACCCAGCCCCAGCUCUCACGCAGCCGCACCUCCCUCCUGUCCGAGCAAAGUUCGUCUUGCCUUGACUGGACGUCCAAAGUUUCCACAAGAGCCUUCAGAUAUCCAGUGAGCUCCAAACUGGCCACACAGCCACCAGAGAGAUCCUGUUUUGAAGUGCUGGAUUAUGAUAUUUAUUUACACUGACCACAGAAUGUAUUUAUUUUUAACUUUCACUGUGGAAAUUUUCAAGCAUAUCCACAAGAAGAGAGACUAGAAUAAUGGACUUCCAUCUUCUCAUCCCCUGACUUCAAGAUCACCACUAACACAUGGACCACUGGCUUCCUUUCUACCUCGUCUCACCUCCCGCUCCAUUCCUACCCCCUGGAGUCUUUUGAAGCAAAUACUUGACAUCAUCUUAUGUUAACUGAACAUCAGAGUGAUUGAUUUCUUCCUAUAUAAAUCCAAUUGUUUCACUUCCCUGUUCAGAAUCCUUCAAACUUAGUAUAAAAGCCAAGCUCCAUUCUGUGGCAUCUUGGGUGGGACCUGGUCCCUUCUUGGGCCCGCCCUGGUCCCUUCUUGGGCCCCUCCCCUGCUUGUCUCCAGCCCCGGCCUUCUCGCUGCUCCCUAAACACAGAGGCAGGCCCACCGAGCCUCCGCACCUUCCCUGACGCCUUCUAGCAGCCUGGACCCUCCUCCACCAGCAUCCUCAAGGCCCCUCCCUCACUUCUGUCACACCUUUAAUCAACUGCCACCCUCCCUGAGAACCCUUCCCUGAAUCCCUAUCUGGACCAUAGCAAGGACUCGACAAAUAUUUAAUGACUGAAUGCAUGUAAUAAAAGUCAAUAACCCUGUGAAACCAGGGAGAGAAGACAGAGUUGUUCCUGUUAUUCAGAUGAGAAAACUGAGGCUCAGCAUGGUUAAGUGAAUUGCCCAAAGACACACAGCUCUUCUUUUUUUUUUUUGAGACGGAGUCUCUCUGUGUUGCCCAGGCUGGAGUGCACUGGCGCCAUCUCGGCUCACUGCAAGCUCCGCCUCCCGGGUUCACGCCAUUCUCCUGCCUCAGCCUCCCGAGUAGCUGGGACUACAGAUGCCUGCCACCACACCUGGCUACUUUUUUUGUAUUUUUUUAGUAGAGACGGGGUUUCGCCAUGUUAGCCAGGAUGGUCCCGAUCUCCUGACCUCGUGAUCCGCCCGCCUCGGCCUCCCAAAGUGCUGGGAUUACAGGCGUGAGCCACUGCGCCCAGUCGACACACAGCUCUUAAAUGGUGGAAAAGACUUUGAACACAGGUCUUGACUCCAAAUUCCAUGCAUUUUCCAUUCCUGUGUUGCUUCUCUGAAAUGAAACGUUGCUUCAGUUGAUAUAAUUAAGACACAGGUUUACAUCAAAUGUAUUCAUUCAUUCAACAAACAGUAUCUCACUGUUUGAACGCUCAGUAUGUGGCAGGCACUGUUCUGAGCAGCAGAGAAACUGGAGUGUGGUGGGCAGAAUAGUGUCCCCCAAAGAGGUCCAUGUCCUAAUCCCCAUCACCUGUGACUAUGUUAGGUUACAUGGGAGGUGGAAUAGGGCUCAUCAGCUGACCUUCAUAUGAGGACAUUAUCUUGCAUUCCUUGGGUGGGCCCAGUGUCCUCACAAGGCUCCUCAACAGUGAAAGAGAGAGGCAGGGGAGUGGGAGAGAGAUUUAAAAUGCUACUCUGCUGGCUCUGAAGACAAAGGAAGGGGCUACAAGCCAAGGAAUGCGAGUGGUCUCUGAAAAAGGCAAGGAAACAAGAUUCUGCCCUUGUACCUCCAGGAAGGAUUAAGGUCUGCAGAUAUUUUAAUCUUAUUCCAGUGAUACUUAUUUCUUUUUUUUUUUUUAAUCUUUUUAUGUUUUUGUUUUUGUUUUGAGACAAGGUCUCAUUCUGUUGCCCAGGCUGGAGUGCAGUGGUGCAAUCUCGGCUCACUGCAGCCUCAACCUCCUGGGCUCAAGUGGUCCUCCUGUCUCGGUCUCCUGAGUAGCUGGGACUACAGCUGCAUGUCACCACACCUGGCUAAUUUUUUAAAAACUUUUUGUAGAGAUGGGAGUCUCAUUAUAUUGCCCAGGCUGGUCUUGAACUCCUGGGCUCAAGUGAUCCUCCCAUCUCAGCCUCCAAGUAUCUGGGACCACAGGCAUGAGACCCAUUUCUGACUUCUGACCUUCAUAGCUCUAAGGGAGUCUAUCUGUGUUGUUUUAAGCCACUGAGCGUGUGGCAAUCUGUUACAGCAACAACUGGAAACAAAAAAAGAAAGUGAAGAAGGUAACAAGGUCCCUGCCCUCAAAAAGCCUCCUCUUUUUUUUGGAGUGAGGGGGAGUCUGGCACCUUCCACCGGGCCACUCUGGAUGCAGAGGUCUUCCUACCACAGGUCCGUGCUCACUGCAGCCCAGCUGCCUCUGUUAGGACAGGCUGUCAGCGCCUCAGGAACAGGUUCUUCUGUUACCAAACAAAGUCUAUUUGCUAAUUUCCUAUUCAAGAGUGACACUCAUAGGCUUUAUAGGGCUUUUCUACUGUAUUUUAGCCAGACGUAGGAAAUUAGCUCCAUAAAAGAAAAGAAGAGGACAGAAGGGAAAGGGAGUGGAAGGGAGGAGAGGAAACAAAACUAGUUGAAGUGCUUCUUAGAUUCUCGGCAAAUCCACCUCCAGACCCCCUGAAACUCCUGUCUCAGCGGCUCUGUGUUUUGGCCCCACGUCCUCUGAGAGUUGGCAGAAUGGAAACUUGGCCUCCACCCAAGAGGCACAGACAGUGCCUCAUAAUUAGAAGCUACUCAGGGCAUCCCAGACUAAAACACACAUCAGCAAAAUGUCAUUGCCUGACCUGGGAAGGUGUUCAUCU
rnacentral:lncRNA from 1 species